GCUGGCAGAUUGACCAACUCCACUACCACCCAGGCCCAGACUCAGGGCUUUGAGUUGGCCCAACAUCUACCUCAUCUAUGAAACUGCUGGAGCUCAUGAAGGGGCUGGUCCUACAGCCUCUUAACUCACGGACUCCACUGAACUGCCUGAACAGAAUGGACUAGAACUCAGAGGCCUGUAUACCUCCGACUCCUGAGUGCUUGGGAUUAAAGGCGUGUGCCACCAUACCUAGACCUAAACUUUUCUUUACCUGAAAUUUGGUCUAUACCAGGCUGACCUUGAAAUCAGAGAUCUACUUGCCUCUUUUUUCCUGGGAUUAAAGAUCCAAAGCUGCAGAAUCGCCAUGACGCAGGGCAACACCAGGAUACCCAAGAGGAGCCCUAGUGAGGAUCGAGAGUACUGAGAGCGUAGCAGAAGCCAGAGGCCUCGAACACUGAUGACUCAUUGCAUGAAUAUUUGCAAAUAAAGAUGUGU